rnacentral:rRNA from 1 species
AACGAACGCUGGCGGCAGGCUUAACACAUGCAAGUCGAACGCCCCGCAAGGGGAGUGGCAGACGGGUGAGUAACACGUGGGAACGUGCCCUUCGCUUCGGGAUAGCCUCGGGAAACUGGGAGUAAUACCGAAUACGCCGUAUUGGGAAAGAUUUAUCGGCGAAGGAUCGGCCCGCGUUGGAUUAGCUAGUUGGCGGUGUAAUGGACCACCAAGGCUACGAUCCAUAGCUGGUCUGAGAGGACGACCAGCCACACUGGGACUGAGACACGGCCCAGACUCCUACGGGAGGCAGCAGUGGGGGAAUCUUGGACAAUGGGCGCAAGCCUGAUCCAGCCAUGCCGCGUGAGUGAAGAAGGCCUUAGGGUUGUAAAAACUCUUUCGCCGGUGAAGAUAAUGACGGUAACCGGAGAAGAAGCCCGGCUAACUUCGUGCCAGCAGCCGCGGUAA